rnacentral:rRNA from 1 species
AGCGAACGCUGGCGGCAGGCUUAACACAUGCAAGUCGAGCGGGCCCUUCGUGGUCAGCGUCGGACGGGUGAGUAACGCUUGGGAACGUGCCUUCUGAUCUGGAAUAACCCUGGGAAACUAGGGCUAAUACCGGAUGCGCCCCUUUGGGGGAAGGUUUACUGCCGGAAGAUCGGCCCGCGUCUGAUUAGUUUGUUUGUAGGGUAACGGCCUACCAACGCGACGUUUAGUAGCUGGUCUGAGAGGAUGAUCAGCCACACUGUGACUGAGACCCGGCCCAGACACCAACGGGAGGAAGCAGUGGGGAAUAUUGGACAAUGGGCGCAAGCCUGAUCCAGCCAUGCCGCGAGAGUGAUGAAGGCCUUAGGGUUGUAAAGCUCUUUUAUCCGGGACGAUAAUGACGGUACCGGAGGAAUAAGCCCCGGCUAACUUCGUG